AUUUGAGUGAGUGGCGAACUGGUGAGUAACACGUGGGAAACCUGCCCAGAAGCGGGGGAUAACACCUGGAAACAGAUGCUAAUACCGCAUAACAACUACUUUCACAUGAUCGUAGCUUGAAAGAUGGCUCUGCUAUCGCUUUUGGAUGGUCCCGCGGCGUAUUAGCUAGAUGGUGAGGUAACGGCUCACCAUGGCAAUGAUACGUAGCCGACCUGAGAGGGUAAUCGGCCACAUUGGGACUGAGACACGGCCCAAACUCC
rnacentral:rRNA from 1 species